ACACAUGCAAGUCGAGGGGAAACGACAUCGAAAGCUUGCUUUUGAUGGGCGUCGACCGGCGCACGGGUAAGUAACGCGUAUCCAACCUGCCCACCACUUGGGGAUAACCUUGCGAAAGUAAGACUAAUACCCAAUGACGUCUCUAGAAGACAUCUGAAAGAGAUUAAAGAUUUAUCGGUGAUGGAUGGGGAUGCGUCUGAUUAGCUUGUUGGCGGGGUAACGGCCCACCAAGGCAACGAUCAGUAGGGGUUCUGAGAGGAAGGUCCCCCACAUUGGAACUGAGACACGGUCCAAACUCCUACGGGAGGCAGCAGUGAGGAAUAUUGGUCAAUGGACGAGAGUCUGAACCAGCCAAGUAGCGUGCAGGAUGACGGCCCUAUGGGUUGUAAACUGCUUUUAUAAGGGAAUAAAGUGAGUCUCGUGAGACUUUUUGCAUGUACCUUAUGAAUAAGGACCGGCUAAUUCCGUGCCAGCAGCCGCGGUAAUACGGAAGGUCCGGGCGUUAUCCGGAUUUAUUGGGUUUAAAGGGAGCGUAGGCCGGAGAUUAAGCGUGUUGUGAAAUGUAGACGCUCAACGUCUGCACUGCAGCGCGAACUGGUUUCCUUGAGUACGCACAAAGUGGGCGGAAUUCGUGGUGUAGCGGUGAAAUGCUUAGAUAUCACGAAGAACUCCGAUUGCGAAGGCAGCUCACUGGAGCGCAACUGACGCUGAAGCUCGAAAGUGC
rnacentral:rRNA from 1 species